GAUUAUCUGAGGAUCUAAGUCCAGCCCUUGUUACCCAUUGGAAUGAACAACAAGGAGGUUCAAAAGGUUUCCCUGUGUAUAGACUGAAAUAGAAUAACCUGACCUUUUGGACGUUUGCCAACGAUUUUUCCCAUCCUUUCAUCCAGAGGUUCUCAAUGUGUGGUCCCCUGACCAGCAGCGUCACCAUUACCUGGGCACUUGUUAGAAAUGCGAAUUAUCAGGUAGUCCUGACCACAGAAUAAUCAGUCUAUGUUUUAACCAGCCUUGAGGCGAUUCUGAUGUGCGCUCAAUUUGAGAAUU